rnacentral:rRNA from 1 species
CUAAAUACUCCUGACUGACCGAUAGUGAACCAGUACCGUGAGGGAAAGGCGAAAAGAACCCCGGCGAGGGGAGUGAAAAAGAACCUGAAACCGUGUACGUACAAGCAGUGGGAGCCUCUUAAUGGGGUGACUGCGUACCUUUUGUAUAAUGGGUCAGCGACUUAUAUUCUGUAGCAAGGUUAACCGAAUAGGGGAGCCGAAGGGAAACCGAGUCUUAACUGGGCGUUAAGUUGCAGGGUAUAGACCCGAAACCCGGUGAUCUAGCCAUGGGCAGGUUGAAGGUUGGGUAACACUAACUGGAGGACCGAACCGACUAAUGUUGAAAAAUUAGCGGAUGACUUGUGGCUGGGGGUGAAAGGCCAAUCAAACCGGGAGAUAGCUGGUUCUCCCCGAAAGCUAUUUAGGUAGCGCCUCGUGAAUUCAUCUCCGGGGGUAGAGCACUGUUUCGGCAAGGGGGUCAUCCCGACUUACCAACCCGAUGCAAACUGCGAAUACCGGAGAAUGUUAUCACGGGAGACACACGGCGGGUGCUAACGUCCGUCGUGAAGAGGGAAACAACCCAGACCGCCAGCUAAGGUCCCAAAGUCAUGGUUAAGUGGGAAACGAUGUGGGAAGGCCCAGACAGCCAGGAUGUUGGCUUAGAAGCAGCCAUCAUUUAAAGAAAGCGUAAUAGCUCACUGGUCGAGUCGGCCUGCGCGGAAGAUGUAACGGGGCUAAACCAUGCACCGAAGCUGCGGCAGCGACGCUUAUGCGUUGUUGGGUAGGGGAGCGUUCUGUAAGCCUGUGAAGGUGUGCUGUGAGGCAUGCUGGAGGUAUCAGAAGUGCGAAUGCUGACAUAAGUAACGAUAAAGCGGGUGAAAAGCCCGCUCGCCGGAAGACCAAGGGUUCCUGUCCAACGUUAAUCGGGGCAGGGUGAGUCGACCCCUAAGGCGAGGCCGAAAGGCGUAGUCGAUGGGAAACAGGUUAAUAUUCCUGUACUUGGUGUUACUGCGAAGGGGGGACGGAGAAGGCUAUGUUGGCCGG